rnacentral:rRNA from 1 species
CGGGUAACGGGGUGUUAGGGCACGACACCGGAGAGGGAGCCUGAGAAACGGCUACCACAUCCAAGGAUGGCAGCAGGCGCGCAAAUUACCCAAUCCCGACACGGGGAGGUAGUGACAAUAAAUAACAAUACGGGGCUCUUUAGGGUCUCGUAAUUGGAAUGAGUACAAUUUAAAUCUCUUAACGAGGAACAAUUGGAGGGCAAGUCUGGUGCCAGCAGCCGCGGUAAUUCCAGCUCCAAUAGCGUAUAUUAAAGUUGUUGCAGUUAAAAAGCUCGUAGUUGAAUUUCGGGGUCAGCAGGUUGGUCGUGCCAUUGGUAUGCACUGGUUUCGCUGAUUCCUCCUUUCUGAAGAACUGUAAUGUCACUAAUUUGGUGUUGCAGGGAAACAGGACUGUUACUUUGAAAAAAUUAGAGUGUUUAAAGCAGGCUAACGCUUGAAUACAUUAGCAUGGAAUAAUGAAAUAGGACGUUUGAUCCUAUUUUGUUGGUUUCUAGGAUUGACGUAAUGAUUAAUAGGGAUAGUUGGGGGCAUUAGUAUUCAAUUGUCAGAGGUGAAAUUCUUGGAUUUAUUGAAGACUAACUACUGCGAAAGCAUUUGCCAAGGAUGUUUUCAUUAAU